GGGGAAUGGCCUGGCUUGGGCGGGACGCUGGACAUCACCCGGUUCCAAAUCCCUGCCGUGGGCAGCCACUCCUCCCACCGCCCCAGCGUGCUCCAAGCCCCCUCCAUCCUGGCAUUGGACACUCGCAGAGUUAUCCUCCAUGCAAAGUUGCCUGGACACCCUGUUCCAGAGCCUCACCACCCUCACAGCCCACGCAGGAACACCGACACAGCAGAGGAACUGCUGAUGGAGCAGAUGGGGACAAACCCCCAGCACAGACCUGGCUCACAGGCAUCCACCAGCCAGAAAUGGAGAACAACUCUCAGGAGCAAAACCCCUCCACUGCAAGGCCUUGCAUCCUUGUGCUGUGCAGGUUCCUUUGAGAGGGCAGCUCUGCAUCUCAGGAAGCCAAGCUCUGCACCUCCCUUCAGCCCAGCUGGGAUCUCCUGGGGGAAGCCACUGGCUGCAGAUGUGAUUGCUCUGUCACUGAGAUUUCUGCUCCUCAUUGACCCUGCACGUCCUGGUAGGUAACCUGGAAAGGUAACAGCAGAGUCUCUGAUGUUCUCUCUGGGUAUCUAUUUUUUAAGAUGUUUUCUUCCAGGCAUUCAGGAGCUCCUCU